rnacentral:rRNA from 1 species
UAACGCGAAGAACCUUACCAAGGCUUGACAUACACCGGAAACGGCCAGAGAUGGUCGCCCCCUUGUGGUCGGUGUACAGGUGGUGCAUGGCUGUCGUCAGCUCGUGUCGUGAGAUGUUGGGUUAAGUCCCGCAACGAGCGCAACCCUUGUUCUGUGUUGCCAGCAUGCCCUUCGGGGUGAUGGGGACUCACAGGAGACUGCCGGGGUCAACUCGGGGGAAGGUGGGGACGACGUCAAGUCAUCAUGCCCCUUAUGUCUUGGGCUGCACACGUGCUACAAUGGCAGGUACAAUGAGCUGCGAAGCCGUGAGGCGGAGCGAAUCUCAAAAAGCCUGUCUCAGUUCGGAUUGGGGUCUGCAACUCGACCCCAUGAAGUCGGAGUUGCUAGUAAUCGCAGAUCAGCAUUGCUGCGGUGAAUACGUUCCCGGGUCUUGUACACACCGA